GACGAACGCUGGCGGCGUGCUUAACACAUGCAAGUCGAGCGGUAAGGCCCUUUCGGGGUACACGAGCGGCGAACGGGUGAGUAACACGUGGGUGACCUGCCCUCAGCUCUGGGAUAAGCCUGGGAAACCGGGUCUAAUACUGGAUAUGACUCCAUGACGCAUGUUGUGGGGUGGAAAGCCUUGUGCGGCUGAGGAUGGGCCCGCGGCCUAUCAGCUUGUUGGUGGGGUGAGGCCUACCAAGGCGACGACGGGUAGCCGGCCUGAGAGGGCGACCGGCCACACUGGGACUGAGACACGGCCCAGACUCCUACGGGAGGCAGCAGUGGGGAAUCUUGCGCAAUGGGC
rnacentral:rRNA from 1 species